GCCUUCGUGGUGUAAUGGUCAGCACACUCGACGUGCAACCGAGAGGUCCGUGGUUCAAAUCCCGGCGAAAGCC
rnacentral:tRNA from 1 species